rnacentral:rRNA from 1 species
UACGUAGGGUGCAAGCGUUGUCCGGAAUUAUUGGGCGUAAAGAGCUCGUAGGCGGUCUGUCGCGUCGGAUGUGAAAACCCAGGGCUCAACCCUGGGCCUGCAUUCGAUACGGGCAGACUAGAGUUCGGUAGGGGAGACUGGAAUUCCUGGUGUAGCGGUGAAAUGCGCAGAUAUCAGGAGGAACACCGGUGGCGAAGGCGGGUCUCUGGGCCGAAACUGACGCUGAGGCGCGAAAGCGUGGGGAGCAAACAGG